rnacentral:tRNA from 1 species
GGCAGAAUGACUGAGCUGGCCAAAGGUGAUUGACUGUAAAUCAAUUGGAUUAAAAUCCGCAUAGGUUCGAAUCCUAUUUCUGCCA